AUUGAACGCUGGCGGCAUGCCUAACACAUGCAAGUCGAACGAGUGGCGGACGGGUGAGUAACGUCUGGGAAACUGCCUGAUGGAGGGGGAUAACUACUGGAAACGGUAGCUAAUACCGCAUACCAUCAGAUGUGCCCAGAUGGGAUUAGCUUGUUGGGGGGGUAACGGCUCACCAAGGCGACGAUCCCUAGCUGGUCUGAGAGGAAGACCAGCCACACUGGAACUGAGACACGGGCCAGACUCCUACGGGAGGCAGCAGUGGGGAAUUUUGCACAAUGGGCGAAAGCCUGAGGCAGCAAUGCCGCGUGGAUGAAGAAGGCCUUCGGGUUGUAAAGUACUUUCGGCGGGGAGGCGGUACCCGAAGAAGAAGCACCGGCUAACUCCGUGCCAGCAGCCGCGGUAAUAC
rnacentral:rRNA from 1 species